rnacentral:lncRNA from 1 species
UUGUCAAAAAUUGUAGACCAAUUUAUUAUUAUUUUAUGUAAGAAAAUCAAAUCAACAAUACAAUUCCAGUUUGGAAAUUACAGUACACAUGAUUUGUUGAAUAUAAUGGAAAUGCAUUUACAUUAGAGUUCACAAGGGAAACUUAUAAUUGAGGAUCAAACUAUUUGGUUUAGUGUCGAGGCCCAUCUGCCUGGACCUAGACUUGCUCAGUUGAUUCCUAGAUUGGGCCAUGUUGCAAGUCCGUCCCAACUUGUGUUGCAUUCAAAUAUUUCUGCAGGGAUAUGCGUAUUACCAAGAAAUCUACUGCCAUGAACCUAAACUAAUAAUUAAACAUAAUCUAAAUUUGAAAUUAAAACGUUCCAACAGUCCAUUUACUACUGAUAGUCCACAAAUUUACAAUAUUCCUCUAAAUACAACUGUGUGUCUAAAGAAAGAACAAUUUUAAUAUAAGAUAACAAAAAAUGAAAUUUCUUCCUAAUUCUGAACCUUUCAGUUGUUACAUAAUCCUUCAAACUAGCUUCAACUUGCAAGAAAUCAGCGAUAGAGUUGUUUCUUACAAGUCAGCAUUCAAUUCCGGCCUUGGGGUCUGUUUGCCUUAUUGUCACUCACAUAAAAAACAGUAGAAAAUAAAAUACAGGUUUCAGUACUUAUCGCAAUCCAUUUACUACUAUAUUGCUUACUAAAUAAUAACGCAUGUAGAAAGAAAGAAGAAAGACAUUUCAGCAACCAAAGUUCAAAUUCAGUAUAAGAUAGAAAAAUCUUCAAACUUAAACAUCAUCAAAAAAGGCGUUGCAAGCAUUAGUAAACCAAACAAAAAGGGGGUCAUGCUAGUUCAUUUCCCUAUUUUAAAAUCAAACAGUAAGAUCUACUAUAUCUAUAAAAGAUUAAUCAACUAUCACAUGAAACUCAUUCAUUAUAAAUAACUUGCAAAUUUGUUGAUAUUACAUCACUUCAUAGCAGGAAGUACAUUUAAAGUGGUGAGAUGAGUACCUAACAACCGCAAGAACCAAACAAUAGGUAGAUGAAAUGUUUAUCAACAACUCUAAAGAAAGAGCAACCAACAAAACCAAGCAGAAGCAGUAUGAAAUCACCCAGAAAACCCAGAAUCCAAAAACUCAAAUGUCUCCCAAAAUCGGAGUAUCAGAAAACCGGCGUAGAAGUCUAACUAGAAAAUUGAUGUUUUCAGAAACGUUUUUGGGGAAUUUUCUUUUUUGUUGAGCCUUUUGGGUGCAGAAAUGCUGAUAAACGAAUAUGUAUGAGUGCAUGUUUUCUUUUGCUUUUUAUAGUGUGUAUAUCCAUAACAACAUCAAAGAAUAUUCUACCAUAAUUCUUUGGAUAGUACAACUGUUGUGACAGAAAAUAAUAUCCAGUUUUUAGCAUCUUCUAAAAUGAAUUUUGGAGAACUAUUACAUUUCUAGAACUUUCUUCUAUUAGAUAAUUGUUUUCUAAAGUCAGAAAUCCUCCUAGGUUUUUCUUUUAGUUUAAUUAGGCCCCCACAAGUUUUUGGUGAGUUACAAAUCAAGGAAAACAAAGGCAAGACCAGAAGGGAUAAAAAAUCCAAAUAAAAAUGACAAACAAAAUCAUGAUGCUGCAAUUUAAACCUAAAAACUAAAUUAAUCAGUAAAUAACAGUGUUUAUCUAAUUAACCAUAAGCAAAAACUGAUUUAAUGACUAAUACACCAAAACAGUAAUCAAGCCAGGAUUAAAAUAAAACUACGAAGAAAACCUAGAAUUUAACCUACUUAGUUUGCAAAUUUAAACAAUUAAACAACCAAUUUUGACAUUUAAAAAAAACAAACUAAACAACUUGUUAAUUAACCCAAAACAAACACCGAAUAUAAGCAUGAGAUGGAAACAUGGAAGAAAUAAAAGAAUCAUUUUGUGUAUCAAACUUAAAGAUGAACCCUAAUUAAGCUAAAUUCAUGGAAUUCAAGAUAAACUUCAAAUAAUGAAAUUUCAUUGCACUCUAAUUAACCUACUAAAUAGAGGCAAUUAAACACUGAACAAAAGAAAAGAAAACCUAAGGUUGCAAACCUUCAAUAUGCAGCUAGAAGAAAUAUUUAGACAUGAAGAAGAACAACAAAGAAAAAAAGAAGAAGAAAAAAAUAGAAGAAACAUUAAUCAAUUCUCAACAAGAACAGUCGACUAAUGGAAGUUUUUGGGUUCAAACAACCAAAAUUGACCGAAAUCAGAAUAAUAGAAAAACUAGAGUUCGGCUUUUUAGAUCUGAAAUUCGAGGAUUUCUAGACUUAUUAUAAAAAAAUGGUUGGGAUAUAUGGGAAAAGGAGGUAAAGAUGGUUGUGGGAUGUGAGUAUGGCGAUGUUUGGGUGAACUAGGGUCUAGGACUGAUUUUCAAAUCUAAAAUUGGUAGAUUUGGGUGGUGUUUUGGAAAAAUGGAUAGUGGGAUAGUUUUUUAGAGGGCAUAAGGAUUAGAAUGUGUCAAUUUGGAGCGAUUUGGUAAAGCUCCACCAACGUAGGGCAACUUCUAGGCCGUGGAGAAGGCAGAGCUGGUGAUGGAGUCUUAGGGUGGCUAGGGUUUCUCUAGGCUUAGGGUGAGAGAUGAAGUGAGAGGGGUUCAAUGGGGAGCUUUAGUUCAGACAUUUAUAUACAAAAUAGGCAAUUAGUUCCCAGUCAUUAGAUCUAUUAAGAUCAACAGCUGGGAUUAGGGAAGGG